rnacentral:tRNA from 1 species
GGUUGUGGCUCAGUGGUAGAACACUCGCUUAGCAUGUGUGAGGCCCUGGUUUUGAUCCCCAGCACCA